UACGUAGGCAGCAAGCGUUGUUCGGAGUUACUGGGCGUAAAGCGUGCGCAGGCGGCUUUGCAAGACAGAUGUGAAAUCCCCGGGCUUAACCUGGGAACUGCAUUUGUGACUGCAUGGCUGGAGUGCGGCAGAGGGGGAUGGAAUUCCGCGUGUAGCAGUGAAAUGCGUAGAUAUGCGGAGGAACACCGAUGGCGAAGGCAAUCCCCUGGGCCGGAACUGACGCUGAGGCGCGAAAGCGUGGGUAGCAAACGGG
rnacentral:rRNA from 1 species